AUAACAUAUCAAUAAGCGGAGGAAAAGAAACCAACAGGGAUUGCCUCAGUAACGGCGAGUGAAGCGGCAACAGCUCAAAUUUGAAACCUGCCAACCGGCCGGAUUGUAAUUUGCAGAGGAUGCUUUGGGAAAGGUACUGAUCUAAGUUUCUUGGAACAGAACGUCACAGAGGGUGAGAAUCCCGUCCGUGGUCGGCCGCCUGCCCCGUGUAAAGCUCCUUCGACGAGUCGAGUUGUUUGGGAAUGCAGCUCUAAAUGGGUGGUAAAUUUCAUCUAAAGCUAAAUAUUGGCCAGAGACCGAUAGCGCACAAGUAGAGUGAUCGAAAGAUGAAAAGCACUUUGGAAAGAGAGUUAAACAGCACGUGAAAUUGUUGAAAGGGAAGCGCUUGCAAUCAGACUUGGGCGCGGGUACUCAGGGACGGUUCGCCGUUCUGUAUUUGCCCGCGCACAGGCCAGCAUCAGUUUUGGGGGUGGGAUAAAGGCCGUAGGAAUGUGGCUCUUCGGAGUGUUAUAGCCUACGGUGCCAUGCCACCUCCCGGGACUGAGGACCGCGCUUCGGCUAGGAUGCUGGCGUAAUGAUUGUAAGCGACCCGUCUUGAAACACGGACCAAGGAGUCUAACAUCUAUGCGAGUGUUUGGGUGUCAAACCCACACGCGGAAUGAAAGUGAACGGAGGUGAGAGCCCUUGAGGGUGCAUCAUCGACCGAUCCUGAUGUCUUYGGAUGGAUUUGAGUAUGAGCAUAGCUGUUGGGACCCGAAAGAUGGUGAACUAUGCCUGAAUAGGGUGAAGCCAGAGGAAACUCUGGUGGAGGCUCGCAGCGGUUCUGACGUGCAAAUCGAUCGUCAAAUUUGGGUAUAGGGGCGAAAGACUAAUCGAACCAUCUAGUAGCUGGUUCCUGCCGA
rnacentral:rRNA from 1 species